CUGGAUCAGCUGCUAACAGCCCUAACGGUGCAACACAAGUACAAACUCAGGAACCUCUUCGACUGCCACGCCCUUCACCAACAGAAGGAAGACAGUGGCGCCACCACAAGUGGCAGGGCACAGGGGCUUCUGUGACAACAAUAUGUCCUUCUAGUAUACAUUCAUUGCAAAGGCUGCCCUGAAGUUUCGUUUUUGGAAAUAACUGUUAUCAUACAUUUUGUAUGAUGUUGCUUGUGGGCACCAUGAAGAGAGCCUGGCUGUAAAGGACAGAGGGAGCUAAACCAGCAAUGCAUGGCCCUGCGUGCCCACAAGAGGGAGCCACCUGCCCGGGAUGCAGCAGGCCUCCUGCCCUGUCCUCUCAGCACCCCUGAGCCCUGCACUCAAACCCCACCUCCGAGACAGAGCACUCCAGCAGGGCAGGCAUCCCAAACAGGGGAGAGACCCUCCACUCGGACUAGCCUGGGGCACACCCUGAGGCACCAGACUGGAGAUUCCUGGUGGGCCCACGGUUUAGCCAGAGAGCAUGAGGCAGCUGUGCCAGGGAGGCCCCACCACCACCAAGUGGGACACAAGUGUCUCCUAAGACACCCACAGGGGGACGGCCUGAGGAGCAGGGAGCAGAGGAAACCUGUCCCGUGACAUUCCUGGGGGCUGGCAGGAAGACCUUCAGGAGGCCACAGGGCCAGGUCCACCUGGCCCCGGGCUGUGAGCCGCAAUCGGGGCAGGACUCCUGAUGGGACACGUCAGAAGAGAUCCUGGAAAGCACCAUGUGAGACGCCUUGUGGCACUCAAGAAGAAUGAAGUUGGAUUCUGGGGACUCUACAUACUCAAGGUCUUCCCAGAGGAAUACGCCACGCAUGGAUGGCUCUCAGCUGCCAGGGAGAAAGGGGAAGUGGGCCGGGCAGGGCUCCCCUCUCUAGCUCAUGUGUUUCUGUGAGGUCACGUUUCUCCACAAGAGCACGUGCUAGCUUCAUAAGUAGAAAAGAGGAAGAAAGAAUUGUGAACGAGCACCGAUAUUUAGUGGAACCCUUUCUAAGGGGAUACUGAUGUGAUCUUUCCGUUGUCUAAACUCAACACUUCACAAGCAGGUUUCCUACAAGAAGGAAGGAUCCUCUUCCAGAGAAUGGCGCGUGACGUGUCCCUCCCUGGAGGUUGUGACCGUCCUCAGGGGGCCUCCCGGCUCUCCGGUGCUGCAGCUGGCUCUUGCCCAGCCUCCUAUCACUGUCCUUUCCCCCUCCCCUGGAAAUCAACUUUUAUGUGAUCUCCAUUUCAGGAAAGCUGAGAAAGAACUGAGGGUAACACAUGUAAUCUGAGACCCAGUACUGUGGAUUCCAAACAGCCCCAUGGAGGAGCCUCCGGCUCACCGUGCUCUCCCGGGCACCUCCCUGGUGCAGGUUCAGAAAGACACGGACCACAGCCCCUGGAGGGACAGUGCCUGCUCUCCACCCAUCUCCAGAACCCAGGGAAACAGGCAAUUUCACAGAUGAGUCUUCCUUUUUCAGUCAAGAUAAAUGUUAAGGGCCAUGUAUGGUGGCACAUGCCUGUGGUCCCAGCUACUCAGGAGGCUAAGGCAGGAGGAUCGCUUAAGCCCAGGUGGUGAAGGCUGCAGUGAGCUAUGAUCACACCGCUGCACUCCAGCCUAGGUGACAGAGCAAGACUCUGUUUCUAAAAGGAUAAAUACAUACAUAAUAAAAUAAAGUUAAAUUAAAAAGAGACAUACAAGGAAGUAAAACUGAGGCCAAGCACAGUGGCUCACGCCUGUAAUCCCAACACUUUGCAAGGCUGAGGAGAGAAUCACUCGAGCCUAGGAGUUCAAGACCAGUCUGGGCAACAAAGUGAGACCCUGUCUCUACAAAAAAUUUUACAAUUAGCUGGGCACGGUGGUGCAUUCCUGUAACUGCAGCUACUUGGGAGGCUGAGGUAAGAGGAUCACUUGAGCCCAGGAAGUCGAGGCUGCAGUGAGCUAUGAUCAUGCCACUGCACUCAAGCCUGGGUGACAGAGCAAGACUCUGUCUCAAAAAACAGGUAAAGCUGAGAAAAGAGGAGGCCUGUUCUUUCACUGGGUGGUUGUAAGCAGCCAUGCAGAAUGCCCAAGGUUUUCCAAAGAGUUUCUUCUUUCUGAAAGGAUCUGAGUCCCCAAAACUUUGGGGACUAGUCUCAUGGUUGAAGGCAUUUUUCAUGAGGGCAUAAUCCUUUUAUAAAAAAAUUAUUUCAUAAAACCUGCAAUUUAAAAAAUCUAAAGUGUAAGGGCAGCAAAAGUUAACAUUAAUUAAAACAAUAUGUUGGGAAUAUGGGUAAGCUAUAUUUCAUGUUUUUCUUUGCAUUGUGAAAUAUUUCCUAUGUGUAAAAAAGAGAAAAAAGGAAAAUAAACCUCACCUACGGUUUCUUCACAAAGGUCAGGCAAGAAAGAAUUAUUCAGGAACUCACCCAGGCCCUCCAGAGUGAGGUGCCCCCAGGGCUCCCUGGAAUGGCCCUAGCACGCACACGGCGGCCACCUUGGCGACCACAGUGGCGGCACGGGACUCUGUCUCUUUAGAGGCCCAGAUGGAGACAGUACACCCCGAGUUGCUCAGGCCUCCCCUGAACCUGUUACAACCUUCACUAAAUCCACAACCACACACGGCUUCAUGGGUCCCACGUCAGCAAAACGUCCCAUGUCAGCUGCUUUCGACCUUCAUUUCUUUGCUUUCA
rnacentral:lncRNA from 10 species